GGCUUGUUAGCUCAGUUGGUAGAGCGCUGCACAAUUAACACAGAGGUCGUGGGUUCAAAUCCCGUACGGGCCU
rnacentral:tRNA from 1 species